UGUAAUGGUGUAGAGCACAUUACUUUUUGGAAGUAAAAGAUGAAAGUUAAUCUUCAAAAUGCGG
rnacentral:tRNA from 1 species